UAGGAGUGAGUCUAAUAGUACGGUUGUUUCUCGGAAGGGGAAGGGGAAGGGGAGGCCGGCCGGUGGUUGUGGUCUGUUCCCUUAUGGGUGGAGGUUUAUGAUUGGUCGCUCACCUUGCUGCCUCACUCGUUUGAAGGGGAAAGGCCUGCCUGCCUGCCUCGUUGGUUGGUUGGCUUGGUCGGGUUUCUAAACCAAAAACUCGGGUAGAGAGCGGUUGUUGUCUCUCUCCCUACCCCUAGGGCUCGGGCUCGCUGCUCCACCAGGUUUAGCACGUGCCCCUGCCGCGCCCCCUGGGGUGGCACCAGUGGCACUCGACGGGGCUGUUCUGCCCGGACCCGACGCUGGAGACGGCGGAGCAGGAGGAGAAGCCGGAGUUGCAGGUGUUCCCGCUGUACUCGUGGCUGCCGGCGACCACGAUGUAGCACGAGACCCAGCGGCGCGCGGCUCCGGCCCGGCAGCGGACCCUGCAGGAGUUCCUGGCGGAGCAGCUGGAGACGGGGCAGGGCCGCGGGAAGCCGCAGCUGUCGCGGAUGGAGCGGCGGCGGCCGGAGGUCCUGGGGCUGCGGCUCGGGGUCCACAAGGACGAGUUCAAGACGACGAUGCUGGCCUACCCGGAGGAGGUGCUGCACUGCACGCACGAGAGGCUCUACCUUGAGUGUUAAUCCUCCCAGUUCCAGAGGUGGUGCGGUCUACCCUCUCACUACCUGGAAAAGAAGUAGUGACUACGAUCCCUUGAAGAUGUGUGUUUCUCGUCCUCCCUUCUCCGGAUACUUUUCGAGGUCUCACAGAAUCCGCUGAGGCACUGCUCAACGCUUUAUCUUAGGCGCUGCCUCCUGUACAGAACAACGGAGGUUCGAAGUCGUAACAACAGCGGACAACAGGACCUCGUCUACAAGUCGCUCCAUCUACGGUAUCUCCUCGUUAGCUCCAGGUCGCCAUCGGACAGCCAGUGAUACCUGUUGAGGGAGUCGGGGCACGUGUGGGACUAAGUCUAUGUCACGCCGCUGGUGUUCCCGGAGGACAUGCUGUAGUACUCUUGUCAGUUCCUGACGUUGUAGGUCCAUUAAGUCAUAAAUAAAGAAAGAAACCCACCCUAUACAUAACUCAUCCCUCAACACAAACGACAGUCUAAAGCAUACCGGCCAAGAUGCGCCCGGUCUUCCCGGCCACGCUCCACCUAGACAAGCGCCACGUCAGCCUACCCUUGUUCUAUGAACUGGUCGUCUUUGUCUCUUCGUACACGAGGGCGGACUCCUACCUCGACGACGCCGGCGAGGCGCACCGCAACCACUUGGCCCCGGGGCUGAGCCUCGACGACCACCGCUUGGGCCACCUCCACAGGCCCUUCCCGUCUGGCGACCACAACAUACUGUAGUGCGAGCGCGAAUUCUUGGAGGUAUCUGCUCAGAAGAACCAUUACUUUAGUACAAGUAAGGACAGACUGUUCGUGUGUGGAGCGAGACUAGCGAACAAGUAAGAACCAAACAUCCGACUCUAGCCUUCCGUACACCACCUGCUAGCCCUUACCCUUCACAUGUCCCACGUGGACCCCCUCCUGCUUGUGCUCGAGAGCACGAGCCACGCCUCGUUCUAGCAGCUGUCGCAGUGGUUGUACGAGUACCCGACCCUGACUGAUUGAACAGAGGUCGUACGUAGAAGGAAUUGUAAGUCAGAACAACGUUUUCUGUAAACAAACAAAACACAUGUCAUCCACGGUAGCUGAUCCACAUGUAUCCCUCCCUACAACUACCGACGACAACAUUUAAUAAUUCACCAAAGGUGACGGAUCAAUCAAGUAUGACGUAGUCAGACUUUAUGAACGGAACGUAACAACAAUCCGUUACUUUACUACCACGUAUCUGGACACAACAACCCAGAGUUCAUAAAUGACACCACAUAGAAACGGGUCGAGUCGACCACCUGCUCAUAAUCGAUCGAUCAGUAGUCGUGCUCAUCCCGUUUAAUUACUUCACUAAGAUUGUUAUCAUGAUUAUCAACCGUUACGAACGACUAAAAUAAUAAAAAUCUAUUCAUACUUAGGUUGAAUAACGAAGACUCCUUUGAAGAAAGGACGUCUGUAAGGUGGUAAUUUACAAAUAAGAAUGUAUAAUACUAUUCGU
rnacentral:rRNA from 1 species